rnacentral:rRNA from 1 species
AGAGUUUGAUUCUGGCUCAGAACGAACGCUGGCGGCGUGGAUAAGACAUGCAAGUCGAACGAGAGAAUUGCUAGCUUGCUAAUAAUUCUCUAGUGGCGCACGGGUGAGUAACACGUGAGUAACCUGCCCCCGAGAGCGGGAUAGCCCUGGGAAACUGGGAUUAAUACCGCAUAGUAUCGAAAGAUUAAAGCAGCAAUGCGCUUGGGGAUGGGCUCGCGGCCUAUUAGUUAGUUGGUGAGGUAACGGCUCACCAAGGCGAUGACGGGUAGCCGGUCUGAGAGGAUGUCCGGCCACACUGGAACUGAGACACGGUCCAGACACCUACGGGUGGCAGCAGUCGAGAAUCAUUCACAAUGGGGGAAACCCUGAUGGUGCGACGCCGCGUGGGGGAAUGAAGGUCUUCGGAUUGUAAACCCCUGUCAUGUGGGAGCAAAUUAAAAAGAUAGUACCACAAGAGGAAGAGACGGCUAACUCUGUGCCAGCAGCCGCGGUAAUACAGAGGUCUCAAGCGUUGUUCGGAAUCACUGGGCGUAAAGCGUGCGUAGGCUGUUUCGUAAGUCGUGUGUGAAAGGCGCGGGCUCAACCCGCGGACGGCACAUGAUACUGCGAGACUAGAGUAAUGGAGGGGGAACCGGAAUUCUCGGUGUAGCAGUGAAAUGCGUAGAUAUCGAGAGGAACACUCGUGGCGAAGGCGGGUUCCUGGACAUUAACUGACGCUGAGGCACGAAGGCCAGGGGAGCGAAAGGGAUUAGAUACCCCUGUAGUCCUGGCAGUAAACGGUGCACGCUUGGUGUGCGGGGAAUCGACCCCCUGCGUGCCGGAGCUAACGCGUUAAGCGUGCCGCCUGGGGAGUACGGUCGCAAGAUUAAAACUCAAAGAAAUUGACGGGGACCCGCACAAGCGGUGGAGUAUGUGGCUUAAUUCGAUGCAACGCGAAGAACCUUACCUGGGCUUGACAUGUAAUGAACAACAUGUGAAAGCAUGCGACUCUUCGGAGGCGUUACACAGGUGCUGCAUGGCCGUCGUCAGCUCGUGUCGUGAGAUGUUUGGUUAAGUCCAGCAACGAGCGCAACCCC